rnacentral:rRNA from 1 species
UACGUAGGGUGCAAGCGUUUAAUCGGAAUUACUGGGCGUAAAGCGUGCGCAGGCGGUUUGUUAAGACAGGUGUGAAAUCCCCGGGCUCAACCUGGGAAUGGCGCUUGUAACUGGCAGGCUAGAGUGUGUCAGAGGGAGGUAGAAUUCCACGUGUAGCAGUGAAAUGCGUAGAGAUGUGGAGGAAUACCGAUGGCGAAGGCAGCCUCCUGGGAUAACACUGACGCUCAGGCACGAAAGCGUGGGGAGCAAACAGG